rnacentral:sRNA from 1 species
GCUGCUCCUGCCCCCGAGUCGACACUGUAGACUGUGAUGGCUUGGACCUUCGAGUGUUCCCGGACAACAUCACCAGAGCCGCUCAGCACCUCUCCCUGCAGAACAACCAGCUCCAGGAACUCCCCUACAAUGAGCUGUCCCGCCUCAGUGGCCUGCGAACCCUCAACCUCCACAACAACCUUAUCUCCUCCGAAGCUCUCAGUGGCCCCUCAGUUUCUGCCCCGGUCCCUCCGUGUCGCGGAUCUGGCUGCCAACCAAGUGAUGGAGAUCUUCCCCCUCACCUUUGGGGAGAAGCCGGCACUCAGAACAAUCUCAUCUCCAAGGUGCCCCGAGGAGCCCUGAGCCGCCAGACUCAACUCCGCGAGCUCUACCUCCAGCACAACCAGCUGACGGACAGUGGCCUGGAUGCCACCACCUUCA